AUGAACGCUAGCUACAGGCUUAACACAUGCAAGUCGAGGGGCAGCAUGGUCUUAGCUUGCUGAGGCCGAUGGCGACCGGCGCACGGGUGAGUAACGCGUAUCCAACCUGCCUUACACUCUUGGACAGCCUUCUGAAAGGGAGAUUAAUACAAGAUGUUAUCAUGAGUAAGCAUUUUCGCAUGAUUAAAGGUUUACCGGUGUAAGAUGGGGAUGCGUUCCAUUAGAUAGUAGGCGGGGUAACGGCCCACCUAGUCUUCGAUGGAUAGGGGUUCUGAGAGGAAGGUCCCCCACAUUGGAACUGAGACACGGUCCAAACUCCUACGGGAGGCAGCAGUGAGGAAUAUUGGUCAAUGGACGAGAGUCUGAACCAGCCAAGUAGCGUGAAGGAUGAAGGUUCUAUGGAUUGUAAACUUCUUUUAUACGGGAAUAAACGGAUCCACGUGUGGAUUUUUGCAUGUACCGUAUGAAUAAGGAUCGGCUAACUCCGUGCCAGCAGCCGCGGUAAUACGGAGGAUCCGAGCGUUAUCCGGAUUUAUUGGGUUUAAAGGGAGCGUAGAUGGGUUGUUAAGUCAGUUGUGAAAGUUUGCGGCUCAACCGUAAAAUUGCAAUUGAUACUGGCAGUCUUGAGUACAGUUGAGGUAGGCGGAAUUCGUGGUGUAGCGGUGAAAUGCUUAGAUAUCACGAAGAACUCCGAUUGCGAAGGCAGCUUACUAACCUGUAACUGACAUUGAUGCUCGAAAGUGUGGGUAUCAAACAGGAUUAGAUACCCUGGUAGUCCACACGGUAAACGAUGAAUACUCGCUGUAGGCGAUAUACAGUCUGCGGCCAAGCGAAAGCAUUAAGUAUUCCACCUGGGGAGUACGCCGGCAACGGUGAAACUCAAAGGAAUUGACGGGGGCCCGCACAAGCGGAGGAACAUGUGGUUUAAUUCGAUGAUACGCGAGGAACCUUACCCGGGCUUAAAUUGCAACCGAAUAUGGCGGAAACGCUAUAGCUAGCAAUAGCGGUUGUGAAGGUGCUGCAUGGUUGUCGUCAGCUCGUGCCGUGAGGUGUCGGCUUAAGUGCCAUAACGAGCGCAACCCUUGCCGAUAGUUACUAACAGGUCAUGCUGAGGACUCUGUCGGGACUGCCAUCGUAAGAUGUGAGGAAGGUGGGGAUGACGUCAAAUCAGCACGGCCCUUACGUCCGGGGCUACACACGUGUUACAAUGGGGGGUACAGAGGGCUGCUACCACGCAAGUGGAUGCCAAUCCCAAAAACCUCUCUCAGUUCGGAUUGAAGUCUGCAACCCGACUUCAUGAAGCUGGAUUCGCUAGUAAUCGCGCAUCAGCCACGGCGCGGUGAAUACGUUCCCGGGCCUUGUACACACCGCCCGUCAAGCCAUGGGAGCCGGGGGUACCUGAAGUGCGUAACCGCAAGGAGCGCCCUAGGGUAAAACUGGUGACUGGGGCU
rnacentral:rRNA from 1 species